rnacentral:rRNA from 1 species
AUAUUAAAGUUGUUGCAGUUAAAAAGCUCGUAGUUGAAUUUCGGGAUCAAAUUGUCGGUCGUGCCUCGGUACGUACUGGCGUUAUUGGUUCCUCCCUUCUGAAGAACCGCGAUGUCAUUAAUUUGGUGUCGCGGGGAAUCAGGACUGUUACUUUGAAAAAAUUAGAGUGUUUAAAGCAGGCUCGCGCUUGAAUACAUUAGCAUGGAAUAAUGAAAUAGGACGGUUGAUUUUAUUUUGUUGGUUUCUAGGAUCGACGUAAUGAUUAAUAGGGAUAGUUGGGGGCAUUAGUAUUCAAUUGUCAGAGGUGAAAUUCUUGGAUUUAUUGAAGACUAACUACUGCGAAAGCAUUUGCCAAGGAUGUUUUCAUUAAUCAAGAACGAAAGUUAGGGGAUCGAAGACGAUCAGAUACCGUCGUAGUCUUAACCAUAAACUAUGCCGACUAGGGAUCGGAUGAUGUUAAUUUUUUAAUGACUCAUUCGGCGC